UACGGGGGGGGCAAGCGUUGUUCGGAAUUACUGGGCGUAAAGGGCUUGUAGGUGGCCAACUAAGUCAGACGUGAAGUCCCUCGGCUUAACCGGGGAACUGCGUCUGAUACUGGAUGGCUGGAGUGUGGGAGAGGGAUGCGGAAUUCCAGGUGUAGCGGUGAAAUGCGUAGAUAUCUGGAGGAAUACCGGUGGCGAAGGCGGCAUCCUGGACCGGCAUUGACGCUGAUGAGCGAAAGCUAGGGGAGCAAACGGG
rnacentral:rRNA from 1 species